UACGUAGGGAGCUAGCGUUGUUCGGAGUUACUGGGCGUAAAGCGCGCGUAGGCGGCUAUUCAAGUCAGAGGUGAAAGCCCAGGGCUCAACCUUGGAACUGCCUUUGAAACUAGAUAGCUAGAAUCCUGGAGAGGAGAGUGGAAUUCCGAGUGUAGAGGUGAAAUUCGUAGAUAUUCGGAAGAACACCAGUGGCGAAGGCGACUCGCUGGACAGGUACUGACGCUGAGGUGCGAAAGCGUGGGGAGCAAACAGG
rnacentral:rRNA from 1 species